rnacentral:rRNA from 1 species
UACGAAGGGGGCUAGCGUUGCUCGGAAUCACUGGGCGUAAAGGGUGCGUAGGCGGGUCUUUAAGUCAGGGGUGAAAUCCUGGAGCUCAACUCCAGAACUGCCUUUGAUACUGAGGAUCUUGAGUUCGGGAGAGGUGAGUGGAACUGCGAGUGUAGAGAUGAAAUUCGUAGAUAUUCGGAAGAACACCAGUGGCGAAGGCGGCUCACUGGCCCGAUACUGACGCUGAGGCACGAAAGCGUGGGGAGCAAACAGG